UCAACUUCCGAGAAAAUUUAUAAGAAAAGUCUUUCCAGUUAACCUUGCGAGCAAAGGGGUAGGAUUGCCAAACCAGAAAUUCGAUUUUUUGGGUAGGAAACAUUCUCGACUCCCUGGACAUGUUGAUAUUGUGCAUCCCCCACACAAGAUACAUCGAUAGUUUGGCGUAAAGCAGGCACAACUCGAAAUCUGCAAAUUUUCAGGAACAUUGUUUCAAUUUUUUUGUUCUUCCAUAUUUUGAUGAUUAGGUAUUUCAAAUUCCAUGGAUCUUUCUGCAUGUAUUGGAACAAAUAUUUAAUUAAUGGAUUAUUUUUGCAUGUUCCACUUUUUUUUUAAAUCGAUCAAUUCGAUAAAUCGAUUUGACGAAUCUGAGAGUACACCCACGCAAAUGAACGCAGUCAGCAGGUAACAGAAGCCUCCACCUACGUGUUUGAUGGUGUUGAUUUGCGUGGGCGUGCUCUCAUAUUCGUUAAAACAACGUUUGAAUUUUUGUUUACAAAAGCGGAUAAAUCUUUUCGAAAAUUUGGUUUUGAAGUACACAAAUGAAAUAUGUCAGUUAAAACUAUCAUAAGGGCAGUGACCAAAAAUAAUUAACGUAAAUUGUCAACUUCGAGAGUAAUAGUCUGUUCAUUCUAAGAGCUACAUAACAUUAUAAAUUGUAUUUGAACAUUGAACGUCAUAUGCAUUAUUCACGAUAAAAAUCAGAUGCUUUCGAGCUGUUCAGAAGAGUCGAUUCCUCUUUUAAAGAAUUCGAUUGUACAAAGUUUUACCGAAAGUCUAUUUGAAUGCUCCAUCAAAGAGCUUUUGAUAGAAGGCCCGGAGACCCAUAGUGUUGUAUACCGAUCGACAAAAAGUUUAGCUCACUUUUUUUGCACUUACUCUCAAUCAAUUUACUCGCAACAGGCUGCAUUUGACGCAGUAUCCUGCCCCAUUGUUUCCUAUUAAAAAUUGGACGGAUCGGACAAUGGGCUUGGUAGUUAUGGCCAAAAUACUUUUUCUCAUAAAAAAGCGCGUAAAAAAGUCUAGCUCAUUUUUAAUGCACUUACCCUAAACGGAUUCCCUCACAACAGGCUGCAUUCGACGCAGUAUUCUGCCCCAUUGUUUCCUUUUGAAAAUUGGACAGAUCGGACAAUGGGUUUGAUAGUUAUGGCCAAAAUACUUUUUCUCAGAAAAAAGCGCGUAAAAAAAUCUAGCUCACUUUUAAUGCACUUACCCUGAACCGAUUUCCUCGCAAUAGGUUUCAUUCGAUGCAGAAUCUUAUCUCAUUAUUUCCUAUUGAAAAUUGGCCCGAUGGAAGAUGGGCUCAGAAGUAAUGCCCAAAAUACUAUUUAUUUACCGCACGAGAAAGGCAUCAUCACCGCUAGGUGGAUUAAUCUGGGUUUUUAAUAUAAUUCGAAGCAUAAUACAACACAUAACACACUCGUCAAAUGUCCAUCGUUCACUGAUUUGCUGGUCAAUUCAAAUAAUCAUCAGUUGGCCAAUCGAUCACUCGUGGCGCGCACAUCGUUAUUGCUCGAGUUUGACGUUUGCUCAUUACCGCCAUCUGGUUCGUGAUUUGCCCAACUAACUAAAAUCAACAGAUGUCGUUAUUGUUUAAACGACGAUGGAUUUGAUGAGUAAAUGUUCAAUGUGUUAUGUCUGUUUGUCAAUGAUAAUACUAUAAAUUGUUCCGUAGAGUAUAGUUUAUACUAUUUCAAAGAAAGCAAAUAAUUUAAAAAAAUCAAUUUUAUUUUAUUCUAUGUGAUAAAUUCAGGCUUGUCAUUGUUCACCGUCCAUAGUCAUAGUCAAGGAAUAAAGACUAACGUUUGACUUGCAGUAUCAUUUAAUCGUAAUAAAUAGGCUGCUUUAAUUACAAAUUCGCGUUGUCAGGACGAGUCCAGUUACGGCCCAAGCUAUGUGCGGUAUGACUCUUUGUUGAAUGAGCCCGAUUCGUUACCAUGGAUAGCGUGAACGAUGUUUUCCAGAGAAUGACCCUUUAUGGAUAUAUAAAAGACAGUCGCGAAGCUCAAUGCAGUGAAUAGCAGGGUUCGUAAUGCUCACUCAAUCUUAGGAGGACAUGAUUUUCCCUCACGAAAGUUUUCGGGGAGAAAUUGCUUUUCGGGAAAGAAAAACAGCCUGGAGAGUGAUAACAAUUUUUCGCUCACUUCGAUUCCGCUAAACGUUGGUUUGCUCUUUUUCAUUCAUAUUCGAGUCUUUUCGUGGCAUCAUCAAUGCAAAUGGUAAUAGCUUAUGUGAAAAAAAUAACUUAACGCUUUUAUACAGAUAGCGUGGUGGUGUGGCUAAAAUAAGCGCAUACCCACAGCUAUUAUUGUUACUAUUCUGGGUUCGAAUCCCGGCGCGGCCAUACAAUUUUUGUAAUUGUUGCGAUAAUUCUCGCGAAAAGUGAGUGAGCGGCAGUAAAAAGUAAUGAAACGAAAAAGGAUUUUCAUCAAAUAGGCUAGAUUUUCGUUCAUCUUCCAAUGCUAAUUCUAGAUAAAAGAUUGAUGGGUGAAAGCUGGUGAAAGAUGAUCCUCAACAUAAACAACGAAACAAGAUUUUCCCUUGGCCCGAAAAACGCUUGCUUUGGUCUCUUUGAAACGAAAAGUCAAAACCCUGGUGAAUAGAUAACCUACGGAAUGAAGGCAAAGUUACCUGUGAUUUAUUUGUCAUAUCAUAUAGUGUACAAUCUUCAGGGAACUAAAUUGGUACAAAUGCUAGCGUUUGGGCCACCGGAUCUUGAGGUUCUAAGAUCGAUCCUCCAGUAUAUUUUUUACUCAAUUUUUUUGUAAUUAUUUCAUUUUCUUUGAUCCUUAUCUUGAUAUAUAUUAGUUUUAGUUUAUAUUGAUUAGUUCCUUGGAAAGUAGAACUAGUGUGAGCUCUAGCAAACGUGUCUGCAUAAGAAGUUAUAAAAAGAUUGAUAAAGAAUGGAGAACAUAUUGGUCGCGACCAGGCUACUGACAUCCUAUUGUUUAGCCCAUCGCCAGAUCGUAGCCAGGAUGUCCUGGGCUAUAAUUUUAUAUCAUACUGCGUUUCAAUGAUGACAGCGGGCUAUGUCUUUUGAUGAUGAUGACACCGCGCUUGUCACCUGCUCGGUCGCGACCAUCAAACUAACAACGGUCAGAGCCACUGAAGGUCAAGGAAUAAAAAAAAACUUAUGGUUACCUGUGGUUUUUGGUCGCGAUGUUAUGGUUUUUGGGUAGGAUAUGUGGUUGCUAACGUUGCGUUUGGUGACGACGAUCAACAGAAGAAAAAACUAAGCAUACCAAUGACUGUCAUGACCAAUACCAAGCAUGGAUAAAUUUGUUACGCGUAAUUUUUUUUGAAACAACCCCUAUCCUCUUUUGCGUUACAUACACGGUAAAUAAGGGGCCCUCCUUAGCCGUGCGGUAAGAUGCACGGCUACAAAGCAAGACCAUGCUGAGGGUGGCUGGGUUCGAUUCCCGGUGCCGGUCUAGGUAAUUUUCGGAUUGGAAAUUGUCUCGACUACCCUGGGCAUAAAAGUAUCAUCGUGUUAGCCUUAUGAUAUACGAAUGCAGAAAUGGUAUCCUGGCUUAGAAACCUCGCAGUUAAUAACUGUGGAAGUGCUUAAUGAACACUAAGCUGCGAGGCGGCAAUGUCCCAGUGUGGGGAUGUAAUGCCAAUGAAGAAGAAGAAGAACACGGUAAAUAAUCAACACGCUCAAUUUAACUCUUUCCUUCCCAUGGUAGCUGUAGAGCUCCAUCAAAAUUUGCACCUUCCAACCUUCAUCGAAUUGUCUCAACAACAAAAUGCAGUAUUUGGCACAACUUUAUGGUUUCAUUAGACUGCAAAUAUAAUCAAUUUUGUGUAAAAAUAGUUAAACUAUUGAAAACAAUUAAGUAACUAUUGAUUUACAAUCAAAAACUUUUUUUUUUCGUUUUCCACUAAUUUUAGCUAUGCCAAAUAACUUUUGUUCUAGCAUUUUUCCAUAGGUGAUUCCUUCUUAUUAAAAUCUUUAAAAAAAAAGUCGUGGGAAAGAGAGGGUUAACUGUUCUAUCUAUUGAAUGUCCAACUUUACAAUCACUAUGAUUAAUAGUCAUAUUUUGAUUUUGUAGUGAUGUCACACAUUUUAAAAGUGCGUUAAAUAUAGACAAUUCCAAAACAUCAACAUUAUUGUUAAGAAAAUUAUUUUGAGCUUUUUAGUGGAAUGUCUUCACUUGUCAUAAGACUAGUUUGUACAAUCCCAUUUAAUUCCACCACUUAAUUGUACCUUGACAGAUACGUAUUUCGACCUCAACAGUAAGGUCGUCUUCAGUGUUUCGUACUUGACUACGUACAAUCAAAAUAUUGUGCACAUCAAAUGGAAGUGCUGGUCUUUGAAUUUGAAAAGUUCAGCUAUUAAUGUUGAUUGGAUUCUAAAGUAGUGCAAAUUCAAAUGCAAAACAAUUCUCAUUGACGUGCAUAUUUUUUACCGAGUAAUAUUUGAACAGGCCUUAUGCAACGUACACACCAGUCAAGCAGUUUGGCGAACAUUGACUCCGCCCCCACGAAAAACCUUCGGUCGCUGCUUUGUUUGAACGUGUGUGAAGUUGUUCGAAUAACCAUUUGACAGUUGGCGGCUCGGUUGGAAAAAAAUAAAACGGUUUGAUUUUGGUUUUGAGUUGUCGGGGGCGGAGUCAAGGUUCGCCGAACAUGUUUGAGCAUUUGUAGUGAAGUUGCACAAACCCCCAUAUAUUUUUUGAUGGUUGGGGCUUCGGUCGUUAGUGUGUGAUAUUGUUGGUCGAAUAAAUUGAUUGUUCGUGCCGCUGUUGGUAAAACUUGAUAGAUGUUUGAAUAAACGAGAGGUGGAGUCAAUGUUGGUCAAACUGCUUGACCGUGUGUACGUUCCAUUAAGGAUAAGUGCCAAAAAUAGUAAGUUUUUGCGCACAUUCAUACACACCAGAGUCUAUUAUAUAAAGUUGCGCAAAGAGAAUCUUCUUACCCUCAUUUUAAAUGAUGCUAUUGUUAUUAUGUUGGCAACUUUCAUUUUUGUUCAACCCUUCAAGUGACUUCACGGGAGUGUUCACUUCUAAAACUUCUUCUAAAUUCGAUAACCAUUGUAGUGACCAUAAUAGUUUUAAAUCAUCAUUAGGAUUACGAACAAUCAGUUGAUGCACAUCAUAAAUAAACAAAGAAACCAAGUCACCCACAGAGUGCAAACACGUGAGUUUCUUGUUGCUACUUUAUUGGGGUGUGCAUUGAAGUUUUUUGAAGCUGUUCCUAGAACAAAUCUAAUACUUGUUUACUUUGCUCGAUAGGUAGACGGUUUUACAGUCCAAUAGGUAGAUUUGGCUUCACUCUUUGCGCAACUCUAUAUAAAAUAUACUCUGAUACACACAUACACAUAGACUAUCAGUUUGUCGAGCUUAGUCGAUUGGUAUAUAACACUUUGGGUCGCCAGGCCUCCAAUGAGAAGUGUUUUUGAAACAACCAUUAUUUGAUAGUUUGGAAUGUAACCUAACUUUUGGUGAAGUAAAACUGAGUUACCUUGAAGUUAAAUAUCACCUACGCCGCUUCGAACACGGCGUAUGCGGUCACCUGCUACCACGGCAUGCUGCUCAAGACAGAACCGCUCCAACCAUGCACUUGAAUAACAUGACCGUUAUUUGAUUGACACUUGGCUUCAUUACAAUCUCGGUCCCGAUUUGUUUUAAAUAUUGGAGUUACUAACUUUUGGCACUCACUUGCCAUCUUGCCUUAAUUGCUUACUACAUGGCUUUGUCAGCAAUUUCGUUAUUUUAUUGUAUUUUUUUCAAUCUCAAUUAUUACCAUCUCAU